rnacentral:lncRNA from 1 species
CCAGACGAUCCUUCCACCUCAGCCUUCCAAGGUGCUGGGAUUAAAGGCAUGAGCCACCACGCCUGGCUGGGACUUUACAAUUUAGAGAAGACCUGAUCUCUACCUAAACGGAAGCGGCCACCUGUCUCCCAGCUGUCUGGGACUGUCUGCUGGAGCAAGUGACAUCACAGUGACCAGAAACCACCUCCCCUUUGUCUGGAGCAGUUAUGAUGUCAUUCCCUCUGGCAGCGAAGCAGGAUGUUGGCAGCUGGGAUUCCUCCGGGUCCUCCUGAAGUGAUAAUUGCCUUAGAUUUUGUUAUAAAGUGCAGCUGCUAAUUAUCUUGUUAAAUCACAGCCAUAUACUUUUUGGAUCUUUUUUUCCUUUGCAAUCCAUUUAAACAAUCUGGGAGAUUAAAUAAAACCACAUACCCCAAACAAAAACAAAAACACAACCCAGACACACACAUACACAUGCACACUCACACACAUAUUUUUUCUUCCUUAAAACACCAUAAGAACAAUUUUUUAAAAAUGAAAAGGGUACAGAUAUGGCAUAAUUAGAUUACUUCCAUUAAAAAGCCAUCAUUUCAACAUCCUCAUAUAAAUAUCUGCAUCCCGUUGCAUAUUUUAGGCAAUUGCAUAAUAAGCCCCCAAGUGAAAAACAGAGCAAAACUCAUUUCCUGACCACAAAAGGAAAAAGGAGUCACUAUGUGCUCUGAGUUCCAAGGAGAACUGGAUUACAUUCCUCCCACACAGACUGGAGGGAGAUGGAGUUCAUUGCUCCAGGGGAGAGAAUUAUGACAACACUUAACCGCUGUGACCCACGCUGCUCCAAGCUGCUCUGCGCCUCUCCACGUCGUUGGCCAUUAGAAGCAUGCAGCUCCCACUGAGGUCGGAGGAAGGAAGGAGAGGACCUAGCCACCUCCGUUUGGCUGGGAUGCUCCAGGCACGUGGAAAAACCUGUCCUGGGUUUCAGCAUCAACAGUUCGUUUGAGUGGGGUUUCUCUCCUUUACAACUGAACAAGUCCUGAGUGCAUACAUAUUUACGUGAAGCUGAGUUAGGAUGAAAGGAAAUCUCUGGAGCAGCCCGGAGCAGCAAAAGGAGUGGUAGAGAAAGCCUCCUAAUAGUUUCUCGGCAAGUUCCACCUUUUCCCGAGGAUAUGGGAAUGGUAUUCAUUCAAGCGUUGAAUCUCCUUGCUGCUUUGUUUAGCACUGGCUACCAGCCCCUCUGAGCCACUGCCCAGCUGUCUGGCAUGGUCAGAGCAGAGUCUUCAUCCAUGUGAUCAAGCCUAUUUAAUAGCCUUCCUCCUCCCUUCAUCCUUUUGGAUGCCAUCUUGGUUAUCUGGCACAAUGCUUGAAUUUGGACAAUUGAGAACACAUGACUUCCUUGCAUUUUGAGAAAAAAGGCAGUGAGAAGAGCUUGGACUAGAAAUGCGAAGACCUGGGAUCAAGCCUCUCUUUGCCAUAUGACGUUGGACAAGUCUUUCAAAGGCUUAAUUUUGAACUUUAUUUUUCUCCUCUUAAAAAUAAAACCUGUCAGGCCUGCUAUGCACUCCUUGGGGACAAUGACCAUGUUUGUCUUCUUUCCCCCUUCUCUGUCUUCCUCCUUCCCUUCAUUUCUUUCUUCUCAUCUUUCUGUCCUCUGGCCUCAGAUGCGGAGUUGAGUUACCCAUGCACCUCAUUGGCAGCCUCAUCAAUCCCAGCAUAGAUCCCUCUUGUUUUGUUUUCUUAUUUUUCCUCUACAUCCUUCAUCCCUACUCCAUUCUCCUCUCCCCAUCCUACCCCUAGGUCUGACACCCACUCUGAUAUAUUUCCUUUAAAAGAUAUAUGGCAUUUUGGAGGGGGGGUGGUGGGUAUACAUGUGCUUUUAAUUUAUAAGAAUAGUAAUUUAAUAUAAAGCUAUAAAUCUUUUUCCUUUUGCACUCAACACGCUGUCUUAAAGACCUGUCCAUGGCUGUAUGUAAAUCUGGUCUAUUGUUUCUGACUGCUACAUGGAAUUCUGUCAUAUGUGCCUACCAUCAUCACACGCAUCUCUGGGGUAAAGACCUGGGGGCUUUCUGGGUCACAGGGUUUACACAGACUUCAUUCCUAAGCAUUGCCAGAUAAUCCCUCAGAAUGACAUAUCACUUUGCAGUUCCACCAGCAGUGCAUGAAAGUUCCCCUUUCCCCACAUCUUCUACAGCACUUGGUUUUAUUCAGCUUCAUAAGUUUUGCCAAUGUCUUAUGUUUGAACUAAUGUUGUUUUAAUUUGCAUCUCUCUGAUAAUUUGCGGAGGUUGACAAUCUCUUCCUCUUUUUAUUCAUUAGAGGUUUCCUAUCUAUGAAUUGCUUGUCCAUAUUAUUUGACCUUUUUUUUCUUGCUAUUUUUCCCUGUGGGUUUUUAAAAAAUAAUCUCAGCAUUUCUUCUGUGUUUGAUAGCAGUGAACACAGCCAAUACCUACUG